rnacentral:rRNA from 1 species
CAUAUCAAUAAGCGGAGGAAAAGAAACCAACAGGGAUUGCCUUAGUAGCGGCGAGUGAAGCGGCAAAAGCUCAAAUUUGAAAUCUGGCGCCUUCGGUGUCCGAGUUGUAAUUUGAAGAUUGUAACCUUGGGGUUGGCUCUUGUCUAUGUUUCUUGGAACAGGACGUCACAGAGGGUGAGAAUCCCGUGCGAUGAGAUGCCCAAUUCUAUGUAAGGUGCUUUCGAAGAGUCGAGUUGUUUGGGAAUGCAGCUCUAAGUGGGUGGUAAAUUCCAUCUAAAGCUAAAUAUUGGCGAGAGACCGAUAGCGAACAAGUACAGUGAUGGAAAGAUGAAAAGAACUUUGAAAAGAGAGUGAAAAAGUACGUGAAAUUGUUGAAAGGGAAGGGUUUGAGAUCAGACUCGAUAUUUUGUGAGCCUUGCCUUCGUGGCGGGGUGACCCGCAGCUUAUCGGGCCAGCAUCGGUUUGGGCGGUAGGAUAAUGGCGUAGGAAUGUGACUUUACUUCGGUGAAGUGUUAUAGCCUGCGUUGAUGCUGCCUGCCUAGACCGAGGACUGCGAUUUUAUCAAGGAUGCUGGCAUAAUGAUCCCAAACCGCCCGUCUUGAAACACGGACC